CAAUAGCGUAUAUUAAAGUUGUUGCGGUUAAAAAGCUCGUAGUUGGAUUUCUGCCGAGGACGACCGGUCCGCCCUCUGGGUGUGUAUCUGGUUUGGCCUGGGCAUCUUCUUGGAGAACGUAGCUGCACUUGACUGUGUGGUGCGGUGUCCAGGACUUUUACUUUGAGGAAAUUAGAGUGUUUCAAGCAGGCACACGCCUUGAAUACAUUAGCAUGGAAUAAUAAGAUAGGACCUCGGUUCUAUUUUGUUGGUUUCUAGAGCUGAGGUAAUGAUUAAUAGGGAUAGUUGGGGGCAUUCGUAUUUAACUGUCAGAGGAGAAAUUCUUGGAUUUGUUAAAGACGGACUACUGCGAAAGCAUUUGCCAAGGAUGUUUUCAUUGA
rnacentral:rRNA from 1 species